AGGGGAUGUUUCCAGCUUGAGACUUCUUGCCUACAGAGACACCCUCAAGGAUUAGCUGCUCCUGAUGUACAUAAGAAACAUGCUGAUGUUUUGGGUUGUAGGCUCCUGAAACUCAGCAGUGAGUGUGAUGGAGUCGGGAGAGACAGACACCCUGCGGUGAUGAGGCUAAGAUGCACCUCCUAAGAUGGAUUAAAGGCUUAUGGAAGAACCUCAAGCAACAUUUGGCUACCGUGCCAUUGAGGAUGAUACUCCUUCCCUCCAGGGAAGCACAAUACCAAAGUUACAACAUGGAAGCAGAGAUACUGGGCUACAGCUGGCACUCUUGUGGCCUCCCCAUCAACCAGAACUAUGAGAAUAUAAAUUCCUGCUCUUUAUAACUAUCCAGGCUCUGGUAUUUUGUUAUCUAGCAGGCAUAGAUGAACAUGUCACAAGAUGUUUAGUAUUUGGAUUCAUAGUUGACAAGAACACGACAAAGUCUAGUCACCCAACUUUGCAUAGCCUCAGCAUCUGGCC
rnacentral:lncRNA from 1 species